GAGACAGUUCGGUCCCUAUCCACCAUGGGCGCUGGAAGCUUGAGAGGAGUCGCUCCUAGUACGAGAGGACCGGAGCGAACAGACCGCUGGUGUAUCAGUCGUCGUGCCAACGGCGCUGCUGAUUAGCCACGUCUGGAUCGGAUAACCGCUGAAAGCAUCUAAGCGGGAAGCCGACCUCGAGAUGAGGCUUCCCAUCCCCUCGAGGGAGUAAGGGCCGUGGGAGACCACCACGUUGAUAGGCGGGACGUGCAAGCGCAGCGAUGCGUUCAGCGGACCCGUACUAAUUGCCCGAGGUCUUGAUUUG
rnacentral:rRNA from 1 species